AUACAGAGGGUGCAAGCGUUAAUCGGAUUUACUGGGCGUAAAGCGCGCGUAGGCGGCUAAUUAAGUCAAAUGUGAAAUCCCCGAGCUUAACUUGGGAAUUGCAUUCGAUACUGGUUAGCUAGAGUGUGGGAGAGGAUGGUAGAAUUCCAGGUGUAGCGGUGAAAUGCGUAGAGAUCUGGAGGAAUACCGAUGGCGAAGGCAGCCAUCUGGCCUAACACUGACGCUGAGGUGCGAAAGCGUGGGGAGCAAACAGGAUUAGAAACCCCAGUAGUCC
rnacentral:rRNA from 1 species